rnacentral:rRNA from 1 species
UCCGUCGUGAAAAGGGAAACAACCCAGACCGCCAGCUAAGGUCCCAAAGUUGUGGUUAAGUGGUAAACGAUGUGGGAAGGCUUAGACAGCUAGGAGGUUGGCUUAGAAGCAGCCAUCCUUUAAAGAAAGCGUAAUAGCUCACUAGUCGAGUCGGCCUGCGCGGAAGAUGUAACGGGGCUCAAACCACACACCGAAGCUGCGGGUGUCACGUAAGUGACGCGGUAGAGGAGCGUUCUGUAAGCCUGUGAAGGUGAGUUGAGAAGCUUGCUGGAGGUAUCAGAAGUGCGAAUGCUGACAUGAGUAACGACAAUGGGUGUGAAAAACACCCACGCCGAAAGACCAAGGGUUCCUGCGCAACGUUAAUCGACGCAGGGUUAGUCGGUUCCUAAGGCGAGGCUGAAAAGCGUAGUCGAUGGGAAACAGGUUAAUAUUCCUGUACUUCUGGUUACUGCGAUGGAGGGACGGAGAAGGCUAGGCCAGCUUGGCGUUGGUUGUCCAAGUUUAAGGUGGUAGGCUGAAAUCUUAGGUAAAUCCGGGGUUUCAAGGCCGAGAGCUGAUGACGAGUCGUCUUUUAGAUGACGAAGUGGUUGAUGCCAUGCUUCCAAGAAAAGCUUCUAAGCUUCAGGUAACCAGGAACCGUACCCCAAACCGACACAGGUGGUCGGGUAGAGAAUACCAAGGCGCUUGAGAGAACUCGGGUGAAGGAACUAGGCAAAAUGGCACCGUAACUUCGGGAGAAGGUGCGCCGGCUAGGGUGAAGGAUUUACUCCGUAAGCUCUGGCUGGUCGAAGAUACCAGGCCGCUGCGACUGUUUAUUAAAAACACAGCACUCUGCAAACACGAAAGUGGACGUAUAGGGUGUGACGCCUGCCCGGUGCCGGAAGGUUAAUUGAUGGGGUUAGCGCAAGCGAAGCUCUUGAUCGAAGCCCCGGUAAACGGCGGCCGUAACUAUAACGGUCCUAAGGUAGCGAAAUUCCUUGUCGGGUAAGUUCCGACCUGCACGAAUGGCGUAACGAUGGCGGCGCUGUCUCCACCCGAGACUCAGUGAAAUUGAAAUCGCUGUGAAGAUGCAGUGUAUCCGCGGCUAGACGGAAAGACCCCGUGAACCUUUACUGUAGCUUUGCACUGGACUUUGAGCCUGCUUGUGUAGGAUAGGUGGGAGGCUUUGAAGCGUGGACGCCAGUUCGCGUGGAGCCAUCCUUGAAAUACCACCCUGGCAUGCUUGAGGUUCUAACUCUGGUCCGUGAUCCGGAUCGAGGACAGUGUAUGGUGGGCAGUUUGACUGGGGCGGUCUCCUCCUAAAGAGUAACGGAGGAGUACGAAGGUGCGCUCAGACCGGUCGGAAAUCGGUCGCAGAGUAUAAAGGCAAAAGCGCGCUUGACUGCGAGACAGACACGUCGAGCAGGUACGAAAGUAGGUCUUAGUGAUCCGGUGGUUCUGUAUGGAAGGGCCAUCGCUCAACGGAUAAAAGGUACUCCGGGGAUAACAGGCUGAUACCGCCCAAGAGUUCAUAUCGACGGCGGUGUUUGGCACCUCGAUGUCGGCUCAUCACAUCCUGGGGCUGAAGCCGGUCCCAAGGGUAUGGCUGUUCGCCAUUUAAAGUGGUACGCGAGCUGGGUUUAGAACGUCGUGAGACAGUUCGGUCCCUAUCUGCCGUGGACGUUUGAGAUUUGAGAGGGGCUGCUCCUAGUACGAGAGGACCGGAGUGGACGAACCUCUGGUGUUCCGGUUGUCACGCCAGUGGCAUUGCCGGGUAGCUAUGUUCGGAAAAGAUAACCGCUGAAAGCAUCUAAGCGGGAAACUUGCCUCAAGAUGAGAUCUCACUGGGAACUUGAUUCCCCUGAAGGGCCGUCGAAGACUACGACGUUGAUAGGCUGGGUGUGUAAGCGUUGUGAGGCGUUGAGCUAACCAGUACUAAUUGCCCGUGAGGCUUGACCAUAUAACACCCAAACA